AGUGAACGCUGGCGGUAGGCCUAACACAUGCCAGUCGAACGGCAGCACAGUAAGAGCUUGCUCUUACGGGUGGCGAGUGGCGGACGGGUGAGGAAUACAUCGGAAUCUACUUUUUCGUGGGGGAUAACGUAGGGAAACUUACGCUAAUACCGCAUACGACCUACGGGUGAAAGCAGGGGAUCUUCGUACCUUUCGCUAUUGAAUGAGCCGAUGUCGGAUUAGCUAGUUGGCGGGGUAAAGGCCCACCAAGGCGAAGAUCCGUAGCUGGUCUGAGAGGGUGGUCCGCCACAGUGGAACUGACACACGGUCCAGACUCCUACGGGAGGCAGGAGUGGGAAUAUUGGACAAUGGGCGCAGGCCUGAUCCAGCCAUACCGCGGGGGUGAAGAGGGCCUUCGGGUUGUAAAGCCUUUUUGUUGGGAAAGAAAAGCAGCAGGUUAAUACCCCGCUGUUCUGACGGUACCCAAAGAAUAAGCACCGGCUAACUUCGUG
rnacentral:rRNA from 1 species